rnacentral:rRNA from 1 species
CCUACGGUGAGCAGCAGGGAGGAAUAUUUGUCAAUGGGCGCGAGCCUGAACCAGCCAAGUAGCGUGAAGGAUGACUGCCCUACGGGUUGUAAACUUCUUUUAUAAAGGAAUAAAGUGAGGCACGUGUGCCUUUUUGUAUGUACUUUAGGAAUAAGGAUCGGCUAACUCCGUGCCAGCAGCCACGGUAAUACGGAGGAUCCGAGCUUUAUCCGGAUUUAUUGGGUUUAAACGGAGCGUAGAUGGGUUGUUAAGUCAGUUGUGAAAGUUUGCGGCUCAACCGUAAAAUUGCAAUUGAUACUGGCAGUCUUGAGUACAGUUGAGGUAGGCGGAAUUCGUGGUGUAGCGGUGAAAUGCUUAGAUAUCACGAAGAACUCCGAUUGCGAAGGCAGCUUACUAAACUGCCACUGACAUUGAUGCUCGAAAGUGUGGGUAUCAAACAGGAUUAGAUACCCUUGUAGUC